UUACGGACAUAUCACGUUGAAACACCGCUUCUCGUCCGAUCACUGAAUUUAAGCAACGUCGAAUUUGGUCAGUAUCUAGAUGGGUGACCACUUUGGAAUGACAUGUGCUAUA